GAUGAACGCUGGCGGCGUGCCUAAUACAUGCAAGUCGAGCGAACAGAUGAGGAGCUUGCUCCUCUGACGUUAGCGGCGGACGGGUGAGUAACACGUGGAUAACCUACCUAUAAGACUGGGAUAACUUCGGGAAACCGGAGCUAAUACCGGAUAAUAUAUUGAACCGCAUGGUUCAAUAGUGAAAGACGGUUUUGCUGUCACUUAUAGAUGGAUCCGCGCCGCAUUAGCUAGUUGGUAAGGUAACGGCUUACCAAGGCAACGAUGCGUAGCCGACCUGAGAGGGUGAUCGGCCACACUGGAACUGAGACACGGUCCAGACUCCUACGGGAGGCAGCAGUAGGGAAUCGUCCGCAAUGGGCGAAAGCCUGACGGAGCAACGCCGCGUGAGUGAUGAAGGUCUUCGGAUCGUAAAACUCUGUUAUUAGGGAAGAACAAAUGUGGAAGUAACUAUGCACGUCUUGACGGUACCUAAUCAGAAAGCCACGGCUAACUACGUG
rnacentral:rRNA from 1 species